UACGGGGGGAGCAAGCGUUGUUCGGAUUUACUGGGCGUAAAGGGCGCGUAGGCGGCCAGCGCAAGUCAGUUGUGAAAUCUCCGGGCUUAACUCGGAAAGGUCAACUGAUACUGCGCGGCUAGAGUGCAGAAGGGGCAACUGGAAUUCUCGGUGUAGCGGUGAAAUGCGUAGAUAUCGAGAGGAACACCUGCGGCGAAGGCGGGUUGCUGGGCUGACACUGACGCUGAGGCGCGAAAGCUAGGGGAGCGAACGGG
rnacentral:rRNA from 1 species